rnacentral:lncRNA from 1 species
AGUAAAAAAAAAAGCUCAACAUUCAUAACACCAAGUUAACUUAUACAUAGAUUUCUAAAGGAACAAAAAUCACGUUAGAAAACUAAGCCUAAUUGAAAUACAAUGUCAAAAUUUCAAGAUUCAACCAUAAACUCAACAUCCUGAAAUCCAAUGACAUUUUUAGCCAUCUUUUUGUGUAUACAACCUUAUCCUUCAAUUUCAAAAUUUUCUUCUUCUUCUUCCUUCAAUCUUUAAAUCCAUUUCAUUAACAACUUCUUCACAUAACCACUUG